rnacentral:lncRNA from 1 species
AUUGGACAUUGCGGCAAAGUGGGGCGGGGCCUGUCAUGGGCGUGGCUUGAGAGGGCGUGGCCUGAUUGGAUGUUGCCUGAAGGGGGCGGGGCCUGAAGGGGUCCUGCACACCACCAUUACAGCCCAUACCACCAGUGCCACCAGUAUCAUCAGGGCUCCCAGUAUCACCAGUGCCACCAGUGCCACCAGUACCACCAGUAUCACCAGUAUGACCAGUAUCACCAGUGCAACCAGUAGCACCAGUGCUCCCAGUAUCACCAGUACCACCACCAGUAUCACCAGUACUUCCAGUACCACCAGCGUCACCAGUGCCACCAGUAUGACCAGUACAACCCAGUAUCACCAGUGCCACCAGUGCUCCCAUACAGCCCAGUGCCACCAGUAUCACCAGUGCUCCCAGUAUCACCAGUACCACCACCAGUAUGACCAGUACAACCCAGUACGGCCCAGUACCACCAGUAUGACCAGUGCUCCCAGUACCACCAGUGCUCCCAGUAUCACCAGUACCUCCAGGAUGACCAGUACAACCCAGUACAACCCAGUGCCACCAGUACCACCAGUAUCACCAGUAUGACCAGUAUCACCAGUGCUCCCAGUGUCUCCAGAGCUCCCAGUACCACCAGUAUCACCAGUAUGACCAGUACAACCCAGUGCCUCCAGUGCUCCCAGUACAACCAGUACCACCAGUG